GGGGGGGGGGGGGGUCUGCAGGAUUAUUUAAGAUACUCUUUUAAGAGGUAUGGUUUCAGAUGUUUUCGUAAGAGGGUCAGGGAGAAGCUUGUUCCACCAUUGGAGUGCCAGGACAAAGAAGAGUUUUGUCUGGGCUGACGGGGGCUGCCCUACCGUAGGGGUAGAAGGACCAGGAGAGAAGAGGUGGCAGAACAGAGUACUCAGGUUGGGGUGUAGAGUUUGAACAUAGCCUGAAGGCAGGGAGGGGCAGAUCCCCUUGCUGCUCUGUAGGCAAGCAGCAUGGUCUUUUAGUGGAUGCAAGUCAGUGGAGUGUGCAGAGGAGUUUGUGGUCUUUGGUUCAAUGUUUUUACCCUCUGAGUUGUCCUGAGCUGCGGAGGAAUAACUGUACUGCUGAACAUCUUUUCACUUUGAUGCUCAGGGUUUGGGUCCUGAGAGAUGGAGAGAGAGAAUGAGUAGGAAACCCAGAUACCCAGCUCACACUGCAGACAUGAAGGAGAGAGAGAGAGACAGAACCCCAGCUCACACUACAGACAUGAAGGAGAGAGAGAGACAGAACCCCAGCUCACACUGCCACAGACACCCACACCUAAGCCUGGUUCAUGUUUCCCUCCAGACCACAACCCAGUCUUAAUGUGGUUCUAAGACAUUUAGAUAAAGUCCAGAUAUGAACUCCCUUUGCCUAAAAAAAAUACACAGAUCUUGAGACUAAAUAAAUAGUAAUAGAUACAAUAAACAUAGUCUGUAUCCACACAGGAAACAAACCCUGGUCAUAGACAUAGCUCAAAAACCACAAUGUCCUCCAACAUGAAGCUGCUUUACCGGAAGACUGAUGGUUUUAGGU
rnacentral:lncRNA from 13 species